AGUCCUUCUUCUUCACAUGGAGAACAUGUGAAUUUAUGAAUUAAAUCCGACGCCUUGUGAAGAGAUGAAUCGAAAUUAAAUGUCAUUUUGUUCUAUUUAAUAAACUUUAGUUCACGAGACUUUAAAACUACGCUUCAAAUGGCCUAUUCAAUCCACGAAAGGAAGUAAAUGAUCGUAUCAGUGCAUGAGUCAUAAACUGGUUAUCGACAACGCCGUAUCGAUAAUGACCAUAUCAAAUACAGGAAUUGAUCGAAGCAUUGGAACUAAACUAGGAGCAUUUGAUAAAAGGACAUAGAACUGAAACAAUCGUAGACAUGUGCAUGAAAGUUACGUGUGAGAAAUGCCAGAAACCCACUUGGAAAGGGUGCGGGAACCACAUUGAACAGGUGAUGAAGGACGUACCGGAAGACCAGCGAUGUAAGUGCCCGCGGAAGUAGCGCAUGCGCGCACUUUAUCGACGGAUUUCCGGACAUGAACUUGGCCAUGGAUUUAUAUUGUUCUACAGCAAAUCCCUAUUAAGUUGCUCACUGAUCCUCUGUGCCAGUUGUACUUUUGCUUUUUAAUUAUUUUUUUUGUUUUUAAAAUUUUUGAUAGAUAAAUGUUGUCAAUGUUUUGCGUUUUUAAAUAAAUGGAAUGUACAAUAAUUAAAAGCAUAUGCAACUAAAUACCAGCGGUUACGUCUCUUUGAAUUACUCAGUCUUUCAUCGAGAUGACUGCAAGGGAACAAACUCUUGCAUAAAUUGUUGAUCGCUA